rnacentral:rRNA from 1 species
CAUGCAAGUCGAGCGGUAGCACAGAGAGCUUGCUCUCGGGUGACGAGCGGCGGACGGGUGAGUAAUGUCUGGGAAACUGCCUGAUGGAGGGGGAUAACUACUGGAAACGGUAGCUAAUACCGCAUAACGUCGCAAGACCAAAGUGGGGGACCUUCGGGCCUCAUGCCAUCAGAUGUGCCCAGAUGGGAUUAGCUGGUAGGUGGGGUAACGGCUCACCUAGGCGACGAUCCCUAGCUGGUCUGAGAGGAUGACCAGCCACACUGGAACUGAGACACGGUCCAGACUCCUACGGGAGGCAGCAGUGGGGAAUAUUGCACAAUGGGCGCAAGCCUGAUGCAGCCAUGCCGCGUGUGUGAAGAAGGCCUUCGGGUUGUAAAGCACUUUCAGCGGGGAGGAAGGCGGUGAGGUUAAUAACCUCAUCGAUUGACGUUACCCGCAGAAGAAGCACCGGCUAACUCCGUGCCAGCAGCCGCGGUAAUACGGAGGGUGCAAGCGUUAAUCGGAAUUACUGGGCGUAAAGCGCACGCAGGCGGUCUGUCAAGUCGGAUGUGAAAUCCCCGGGCUCAACCUGGGAACUGCAUUCGAAACUGGCAGGCUAGAGUCUUGUAGAGGGGGGUAGAAUUCCAGGUGUAGCGGUGAAAUGCGUAGAGAUCUGGAGGAAUACCGGUGGCGAAGGCGGCCCCCUGGACAAAGACUGACGCUCAGGUGCGAAAGCGUGGGGAGCAAACAGGAUUAGAUACCCUGGUAGUCCACGCUGUAAACGAUGUCGAUUUGGAGGUUGUGCCCUUGAGGCGUGGCUUCCGGAGCUAACGCGUUAAAUCGACCGCCUGGGGAGUACGGCCGCAAGGUUAAAACUCAAAUGAAUUGACGGGGGCCCGCACAAGCGGUGGAGCAUGUGGUUUAAUUCGAUGCAACGCGAAGAACCUUACCUGGUCUUGACAUCCACAGAACUUUCCAGAGAUGGAUUGGUGCCUUCGGGAACUGUGAGACAGGUGCUGCAUGGCUGUCGUCAGCUCGUGUUGUGAAAUGUUGGGUUAAGUCCCGCAACGAGCGCAACCCUUAUCCUUUGUUGCCAGCGGUCCGGCCGGGAACUCAAAGGAGACUGCCAGUGAUAAACUGGAGGAAGGUGGGGAUGACGUCAAGUCAUCAUGGCCCUUACGACCAGGGCUACACACGUGCUACAAUGGCAUAUACAAAGAGAAGCGACCUCGCGAGAGCAAGCGGACCUCAUAAAGUAUGUCGUAGUCCGGAUUGGAGUCUGCAACUCGACUCCAUGAAGUCGGAAUCGCUAGUAAUCGUAGAUCAGAAUGCUACGGUGAAUACGUUCCCGGGCCUUGUACACACCGCCCGUCACACCAUGGGAGUGGGUUGCAAAAGAAGUAGGUAGCUUAACCUUCGGGAGGGCGCUACC